UAGGGAUAAAAAAACCUCCUCCUCCUCCUCAAGCCAUUUUUUAUUUCCCCAAUUCCUCAGACUUUCUCCUCUCUCAACUCUCAACCCUAGGUUAUAGCCUCCGCCACCGCCGUAAGGAGAGACUCAGCGCCGCCGCUGUCCAUUGUGCUCAGGGGCCAGCACCGCAGGAAGUGAGAAACUGCCAUCGUUCACUGCGUUGUGGUCGUGCUCCAAGUCUCCCCUGUUCACUCUCACGGUCUCACCAAUCGCAGCUUCUUCUUCGAGUUCGGUGUCCGACGUUGUCUUCUUCUACUCAGCCCCACUUCAUAUGGCUUCCCGUGGUGGCUCCGUGGACUGUGGUAACUAAGAAGAUCAUAGCUACUGCAGAAACUAUUAGAAGCACCAAAAUCCCAACAACUAAUGCUACAUUACUACUACAGGAAUAGGAUUAAGGUGCAUCAACGGCCAAAGGAUGGUACAUAAUGGAACCAAGAAGCAAAUUUGGAAAGUAAUUCGCAAGAAAAGCUGUCUAGCAACUCGCUUAAACGAGAUUUUCUCGCUUAAACAAUACUUUCUUACCUAAAUGAGAAUCUCGCACGCACGAGAUUUUCUCGCGUGCACGAGAUCGGAUCAUGUGCCUUGAUUAAUGAAGCACGUGUAUUCACAUGCUUUCCAAGGGCCCCGGCAGUUGUGUGAGAUGGUAUUUGGAAGCUAAGAUGAAGGAGAAAAGGCUACGUUAUAACAUACACACUUAUUUUUCUUUUUCUAGAGUUUGGGAGUUUGAAUUCUAGAGAGAGAAGUUCCAACUUAUUUCUAGAAUGUAAGGGUUUCUUAUGAAUUUUUCUCUUGUUUUUAGGUUUUAAUUUGUUUAAUUGUAAUUCUUAGUUUAUAAUUUCUAGUUUCGCUAUUCUAAUUUUUUAGAAUUUCUUGUUACUUCCUCUAGUUUGCUAUUUUAGUUUAUGGACCCUAGUUGAAUUCUCAACUUUUUUUAAUGAAUUUAAUAUUUUAUGCUUUA